CCCCUAGAUGUUCUGGGCCGCACGCGCGCUACACUGAACAGUUCAACUAGUCUUAACCUUGGCCGAUAGGUCUGGGUAAUCUUUGAACGCUGUUCGUGAUUGGGAUAGACCUUUGCAAUUAUGGGUCUUCAACGAGGAAUUCCUAGUAAACGCAAGUCAUCAGCUUGCAUUGAUUACGUCCCUGCCCUUUGUACACACCGCCCGUCGCACCUACCGAUUGAAUGGUCCGGUGAAAUCUCGGGACGGCGGCUUGGUCGCUUGCGUCCGACUGCUGAAACUUGAUUAAACCAUAUCAUUUAGAGGAAGGUGAAGUCGUAACA
rnacentral:rRNA from 1 species